CAAGUAAUGAGGGACAGGGUCCGUGGGUGGUGUACAGCCUGAGAACAGGAAGUGGAUUUUGAAACAGCUAAUGAAUGUAAUAAGUCUCUUAACAUUUAAAUGGAUAAACCAGAAACCAGGCAUUUUUAACAGAUAAUCUAUUUCGAUAAUUUCAAGAGGAAUAAAUAGGUUAAAUAACAAGAGGCUACACUUGAAAGUCAAAUUGUUUAAGAGCCAGUCAAUUUUAAAAUAAAGAAAAACAGGGUGGGUGCAGUGGCGCACGGCUGUAAUCCCAGCACUUUGGGAGGCCGAGGCGGGUGGGUCCCAAGGUCGAGAGAUCGAGACCAUCCUGGUCAACAUGGUGAAACCCCGUCUCCACUAAAAAUGCAAAAAAUUAGCUGGGCAUGGUGGCGCGUGCCUGUAAUCCCAGCUACUCAGGAGGCUGAGGCAGGAGAAUUGCCUGAACCCAGGAGGCGGAGGUUGCGGUGAGCCGAGAUCGCGCCAUUGCACUCCAGCCUGGGUAACAAGAGCAAAACUCCGUCUAAAAAAAAAAAAAAGACCAGCCAGGCCAACAUGGCGAGAUUCUGUCUCUACAAAAUACAAAAAAUUAGCUGGCUGGCGGCACGUGCCUGUAAUCGAAGCUACUCGGGAGGCUGAGGCAAGAGAAUCGUUUGAACCCAGGAAGCUGAGGUUGCAGUGAGCCAAGAUCGUGCCACUGCACUCUAGCCUGGGCGACAGAGAGAGACUCUGUAUCAAAAAAAAAAAAAAAAAAAAAGCAGAUUGAAGAGCUUUUGUUAAAAAAUAUCUCUGUCCUCUCUGGUCACCGUCAUUGGUGUCAGAUGCGAGGCUGGGAGGGAGGUCUAAGGAACCAACUCUCUUUACCCAGUCCAUUCAGCCCUGCUCUAGUCAAGCUUGGCCUGGGCUGUGGGCCACUCCGGGUGCUUGCCACAGGGCUGUUCUCACUGGUGAAUAGGGGUAAUGAGACUUAAAGGAUUUUGAGUUCAGUGCGAGACUUAGGAAACACCAGAUUUGCGGGGAGAAUGAAUUUUAGGAAACAGGCAUGAGAUGAGGUUUCAGUGGAGCAAUAGGCAAAGGUUUAGAAAGGUCACGUUUGAAGGUGAAUUUUGGAAGGAACCAGGUUGGGGGAGACUGGUGUGAGGAAUUGAGGAAGCUCCAAAGAGAUUGUUUGUAAACUUUUUAUGUCAGUAAAGUGAGUUUUGGGGACUAGUCUUUUUUUUUUUUUUUAAGUUAUUAUAAAAGGAAACAAACUCAUCGUAGAGAACUUACAAAAUAGAAAAGAGCAUAGGAAGGAAACAUACCCUCUGUUAUCAUUUUGAUGUUUUCCUUUUGUUCAACACAAAGUGGUCUACAUCUAUGAGAUCAUAAUUGAUAAUUUUGUAUCCUGCUUCUUUCACUUACCAUUACAUCAUAAACAUUUUCUUUAUGCCAUUGCAAAUUCUUUCUUUCUUUCUUUCUUUUAUUUGAGACGGAGUUUCGCUCCUGUUUACCCAGGCUGGAGUGCAAUGGCGUGAUCUCGGCUCACCGCAUCCUCUGCCUCCUGGGUUCAGGCAAUUCUCCUGCCUCAGCCUCCUGAGUAGCUGGAAUUACAGGCACGCACCACUAUGCCCAGCUAAUUUUUUGUAUUUUUAGUGGAGACGGGGUUUCACCAUUUUGACCAGGAUGGUCUCAAUCUCUUGACCUCAUGAUUCACCCUCCUCGGCCUCCCAAAGUGCUGGGAUUAAGAUUACCUUUAAUGGCCAGAUGUGGUGGCUCACACCUGUGAGGCAGGUGGAUCACUUGAGGCCAGGAGUUCAAAACCAGCCUGGCCAACAUGGUGAAACCCAUACUAAAAAUAUUUUUAAAAAUUAGCCAGGUGUGGUGGCAGAGGCAGGAGAAUCACUUGAACCUGGGAGGCAGAGGCUGCAGUGAGCCAAGAUCGCACCACUGCACUCCAGCCUGGGUGACAGAGCAAGACUCUGUCUCAAAAAUAAAGACAAGCAAACAAAAAAAGACUACCUUUAAUCAUUACAUAAUAUUUCAUUAUAGCAUAGUCAAUUAUUUAUUCUCUUUUUAAAACAUGUUUUCAAUAUUCUGCUAUUAUAAACAAAACCACAAAGAAUUUGUUGGAGAACAUAUUUUUAUCUUCAUUUCAUAAAAUGCCUUUUGGUUGUGUUUAUAGAACUGAAAUUGCAGAGUUGAAGGAGCAAAAACAUUUUUUAAUGUCUUCAUGCAUACUGCUGCAGGAUGGUGUCACACCAAACCUUUGCCAAUGUAUUCUUAUUUUUAAAAUAAUUUCUAAUUUGAUGAACUAGAAAUCAGAAUCUCAAUACUAUAUUUAUUAGUCAUCUACAGUCCCUCUUUUGUGAAAUGUCAUGUCCUUUGCUUCUCUUUGGAAUCUUAAAUGGUUUUCCUUCUUAUAGUUUAAAUUUUUACUGUAAAAUAGCCCAAACUGGACUUGAAUUCCUGGGCUCAAGCAAUUUACUGCAAUAUAGCCCAAGCUGGACUUGAACUCCCUGCCUCAGCCUCCUGAGCAGCUGGAACUAUGGGUAUGUGCCACUGUGCCUGGCCAUUUUUCUUCCAUUUUUUAAUUUUAUUAUUUUUUAAAAGAUAGAGUCUCUGUGUUGUCCAGGCUAGAAUGCAGUAGUGGGAUCUUAGGUCACUGCAAACUCUGCCUCCCAGGUUCAAGUGAUUCUUGUGUCUCAGUCUCCCUAGUAGCUGGGAUUACAGGCGCCGACCACCAUGCCUGGCUAAUUUCUGUAUUAUUAGUAGAGCUGGGGUUUCACCAUGUUGGCCAGGCUGCUCUGAAACUCCUGACCUCAAAUGAUCCACCUGCCUCAGCCUCCCAAAGUGCUGGGAUUACAGGCAUGAACCACCACGCCCAGCCAAUUUUUCUUCUUUUAUAUGAGCUUUCAAUUUACAUGGGGAUAUUUAUCUUUUUUCAAGUUUGUUUUAAAUGUCUUUGGUUGAGAGGCUCUGGAGUCAGACUUGCAUGUGAAUGGAUUCUGACUUCACUACCUCUUCUUGUGUGAUACUGGGUAAAUUAUCAUAAAAUGGAGAAAAGAAUAGUUGGUAAAAAAAUGUAGAAAAGUUUUUAAGCUCCCUAGUCGGGGCUGUGCUCCUCUAAUUGGGACUCUGAGCCCCGAGAAGGCAUCCAGUAUUUGCAACCAGCCAAAACGGCAUUGGAGCCAGGCCAGUCCUCAGGGCCCCUCACCGCCACUCCAGGCAACCCGGAGCGCACACUGCAGGCCGGCUACCGAGCUCCCACAUCCCAGCCAUCAUUCUUCCACCUGCCCCUUAGAGUAGAGAAGAUGAGCAAGUCAAGCUGGAAGUCCAGCCAGCCCUUGGCCUCCAAGCAGAAAAAGGACAGCAUUGAGAAGUGGGCCCAGGGCAGGCCACACAAGCAGCCUCUAGUGAGUCCCAGGACAGCGCUGGUAGGGAGUCAGAAGAAGCCUAGUCAAGUACCAACACCUAAGAGACCUCAGGACAGACCAAAGGGAAGCAAAAACAAGGGUGCUACCGAGACCUGAAAAAUUACCCCAGUUCUAGGAAGGAAACAAAGGAACAGACCCAAAAAACUGGAGAAGGAGGAAGAGGAAGGCAGCUCACAGGAGUCCUCGGAGGAGGAGCAGUGACCACAUGUGCUGUUGGCUCCUCACUGGAGGAGCAGCUUCCUUUUGGGACAGGACAGCUAUGCUCAGUUCCCACCACCCCCACCCCUUCCCCAGGCCCACCAUCACCUCCGGCGGUGGCCACCCCCAUAUUCUACCUGUGCCCUUACCACCACACUACACAGCACACCAGCUGCUGCAGGGCAAUGAGCUGACUUGGGAGAAUCGCCCCACUCAGUUCCUUCCCCCUUCCCCCCCCAACUCAUGCAUGCACACAUGCCCUCCUGGACAAAGCCAAUGUCCCACUUAGUCACACCCUGACCCUGCUGCAUCCCCACUCCCUUGGUAGUGGGGACAUUGCUCUCUGGGCUUUUGGUUUGGGGACCACCUCUCUGCUCCUCCACUGUUCUCUCUGGCUUCCCAUAGAGGGGCCUGGGAGGGUUUCCCUGGCCUUAAAAGGGGCCCAAGUCCCCAUUCUGGGAUGCCUCACUCCACUGUCCUGGCAUCAGAAGGUGUGGCCUAUGGAAGGGGGUGCUGGCCCCCAGGAUUCCCUCAGCCAAACUGUCUUUGUCACCACAUGGGGCUCACACCUUUCAUUGUUCCCCAUCUUCCCUAGUCCCUGCACUAGGUUGGACAGCCCCCAUUGGCUACAGAAAAGCAGGAGGGGUGUGAGUCCCCUCCUCUCUCUUUGCAGUGGCCCCAGCCCCCUUGCCCUCUGCCUGGGAUCUGAGUACAUAUUGCAGUGAUGGAGAUGCAGUCACCUAUUGUCCUGGUGGGGCCCUUGAGCCCUGUGGCAGCCACCUGAGGUGGGCUGGGGCUGCUUCUCCAACCCUACUUUGCUUCCACCACUCAGCCAUUUCCCCCUCCUCAGAUGGGGCACCAAUAACAAGGAGCUCACCCUGCCUGGUCCCAAUCCUCCUGCUCUUCCCACCCCCCAAAAGUUCUGGUUCCAUUCAUUUUUCCUCUGUUCAUAAACUACCUCUGGGCAGUUGUGUUGUUUUUGGUUCAAUAUUCCAUUCUUUGACAUCUGUUAUUGCUGCUGCUACCAGCGCCAAAUGUUCAUCCUCAUUGCCUCCUGCUCUGCCCAUGAUCCCCUCCCUGAGAUACUCUGUGGGGAAGAGGGGGUGGAGCAUGGCAGGCUGGAUGACCAACUACUCCAGUUGGGGUCCUGCCCCUAGGAUGCUGCAGCAGAGUGAGCAAGGGGCCCCCAAUCAACCAUAAAGGGUGUAGGGGCCACCUCCUCUUCCUGGUCUGUCAGGGAGGGGUAGCCAUGAUCUGCCCCAGCCUGGGGCUCCCCCUCUGGUUUCCAAUUUGCAGUUACUUGAAUUAAAAAAAAAAAAUCCUUUUCCAGAAAACAAAAUGUAGAGAAGACUCUAAAUAGCACCAAUAAUUCCAGGACUGUUGACUGAGUUGUCUUUCUCAAGUUCUUUGAACUCUCAAGAAUUUUGAACACUUUUCACUGGUAUAAGGGAUAUGAAGUUAAACCUUCACAUUGCCUGGGCUUGCUCACUGUGUGCUCCCAAGCAAGGAUGGUUAACUUCUGUCAGACUUCAGUUCCUUUCUUUUCUUUUCUCUUCUUUUGAGAGUCUCACUCUGCCACCAGGAUGGAGUGCAGUCGCAGUAAUCUCGGCUCACUGCAACCUCUGCCUCCUGGGUUCAAGCAAUUAUCUUGCCUCAGCCUCCCCACUUCAGUUUAUCUGUCAAAUGUGGUUAGUGGGCUGUUAUGAAAAUUAUUAAUAAUUAGGUCAAACAUCCUCUAAGUAUCUGUCGCAUAGUGGGCUCUUCCUCAGUUGGCCCUUUCCCUUUUCCUUCCUACUGGACAACUUGAGAAAGCUUCCUCCUAGCCUAUGGCUGCUCUUCCGUUCCACUUCUUGGUUUCCUGCUCUGACUAUCCUGUUUUGUU